rnacentral:lncRNA from 1 species
AGGAAGGAGCGGCGAUAGGAAGGCGUGGACACUGUACCCCGGUCACAUGAGCAGAAGCGGAAAUACGUAGAGAAAGCUGCAGUCAUACCACGUCCGGAAAAGUUGGGCUGCAGAUCCGUUUGUUUUUUUAAGGACCAUGUAAAAGUUCCUCUAACAGACAUCUGGAGAAAAAUUGAAAUGAUUGUACUACAGACUGGAGAUAUUUACCAGGUUGUUGCCCUGUUUGAGUUCCUGUCCUUACUUCCUUCACUGAUGAACAAUGAUAUGAGUCUUUGCUUCAUUGGCGCUGAUGAUGAAUAAAGGAAACAGGAUGGAAAAGAGGCAGCCACUGUUUAAAAAAUAAAAAUUUUUUAAAAAAAGUCAACUUUUCAAGGCAUGACUUUAUUAUAAGCCUCACAUCUCUUCACUUCUGAAUUUCUAAGUAUUUUCCUCCAGGAGGCAGCAUAGAGAUUUUUUUAUAUUUACAUCUUAAUAAUCACAAGUGUCACUUACUAUUAACAACAACAACAAGUCUUCCUGAUGGUCAAAUGGUGUAACAUGCUGGUACAGAUGUAGAACAAUAAAAGACACUUACUUAAAACAU